GAUGAACGCUGGCGGCGUGCCUAAUACAUGCAAGUCGAGCGAACAGACGAGGAGCUUGCUCCUCUGACGUUAGCGGCGGACGGGUGAGUAACACGUUGAUAACCUACCUAUAAGACUGGGAUAACUUCGGGAAACCGGAGCUAAUACCGGAUAAUAUAUUGAACCGCAUGGUUCAAUAGUGAAAGACGGUUUUGCUGUCACUUAUAGAUGGAUCCGCGCCGCAUUAGCUAGUUGUUAAGGUAACGGCUUACCAAGGCAACGAUGCGUAGCCGACCUGAGAGGGUGGUCGGCCACACUGGAACUGAGACACGGUCCAGACUCCUACGGGAGGCAGCAGUAGGGAAUCUUCCGCAAUGGGCGAAAGCUUGACGGAGCAACGCCGCGUGAGUGAUGAAGGUCUUCGGAUCGUAAAACUCUGUUAUUAGGGAAGAACAAAUGUGUAAGUAACUAUGCACGUCUUGACGGUACCUAAUCAGAAAGCCACGGCUAACUACGUG
rnacentral:rRNA from 1 species